AGUGAACGCUGGCGGUAGGCCUAACACAUGCAAGUCGAACGGCAGCACAGUAAGAGUUUGCUCUUACGGGUGGCGAGUGGCGGACGGGUGAGGAAUACAUCGGAAUCUACUUUUUCGUGGGGGAUAACGGAGGGAAAGUGACGCUAAUACAGCAUACGACCUACGGGUGAAAGCAGGGGAGAUUCGGACCUUGCGCGAUCGAAUGAGCCGAUGUCGGAUUAGCUAGUUGGCGGGGUAAAGGCCCACCAAGGCGACGAUCCGUAGCUGAUCUGAGAGGAUGAUGAGCCACACUGGACCUAGAAACCGCUCCAGACUCCAACGGGAGGAAGCAGAGGGAAAUAUUCGACAAAGGGCGCAAGCCUGAUCCAGCCCUCCCGCGUGGGUGAAAAAGGCCUUCGGGUUUUAAGGCCCUUUUGUUGGGAAAGAAAAGCAGCAGGUUAAUACCCCGCUAUUCUGACGGUACCCAACGAAUAAGCACCGGCUAACUACGUG
rnacentral:rRNA from 1 species